rnacentral:rRNA from 1 species
GGGUUGCGGACAGUGUCUGGUGGGUAGUUUGACUGGGGCGGUCUCCUCCCAAAGAGUAACGGAGGAGCACGAAGGUUAGCUAAUCCUGGUCGGACAUCAGGAGGUUAGUGCAAUGGCAUAAGCUAGCUUGACUGCGAGCGUGACGGCGCGAGCAGGUGCGAAAGCAGGUCAUAGUGAUCCGGUGGUUCUGAAUGGAAGGGCCAUCGCUCAACGGAUAAAAGGUACUCCGGGGAUAACAGGCUGAUACCGCCCAAGAGUUCAUAUCGACGGCGGUGUUUGGCACCUCGAUGUCGGCUCAUCACAUCCUGGGGCUGAAGUAGGUCCCAAGGGUAUGGCUGUUCGCCAUUUAAAGUGGUACGCGAGCUGGGUUUAGAACGUCGUGAGACAGUUCGGUCCCUAUCUGCCGUGGGCGCUGGAGAAUUGAGGGGGGCUGCUCCUAGUACGAGAGGACCGGAGUGGACGCAUCACUGGUGUUCGGGUUGUCAUGCCAAUGGCAUUGCCCGGUAGCUAAAUGCGGAAGAGAUAAGUGCUGAAAGCAUCUAAGCACGAAACUUGCCCCGAGAUGAGUUCUCCCUGA